GCCAACAUGGCAUAGUGGUUUGAAUGCUGGACUACAACUCUGGAGACCAGGAUUCAAUUCCCAGCAUGGCCA
rnacentral:tRNA from 1 species